rnacentral:rRNA from 1 species
UAACACGUAGGCAACCUGCCCACAAGACUGGGAUAACUACCGGAAACGGUAGCUAAUACCCGAUACAUCCUUUUCCUGCAUGGGAGAAGGAGGAAAGGCGGAGCAAUCUGUCACUUGUGGAUGGGCCUGCGGCGCAUUAGCUAGUUGGUGGGGUAAAGGCCUACCAAGGCGACGAUGCGUAGCCGACCUGAGAGGGUGAUCGGCCACACUGGGACUGAGACACGGCCCAGACUCCUACGGGAGGCAGCAGUAGGGAAUCUUCCGCAAUGGGCGAAAGCCUGACGGAGCAACGCCGCGUGAGUGAUGAAGGUUUUCGGAUCGUAAAGCUCUGUUGCCAGGGAAGAACGCCUGGUAGAGUAACUGCUCUUGAAGUGACGGUACCUGAGAAGAAAGCCCCGGCUAACUACGUGCCAGCAGCCGCGGUAAUACGUAGGGGGCAAGCGUUGUCCGGAAUUAUUGGGCGUAAAGCGCGCGCAGGCGGCUCUUUAAGUCUGGUGUUUAAUCCCGAGGCUCAACUUCGGGUCGCACUGGAAACUGGGGAGCUUGAGUGCAGAAAGAGGGAGUGGAAUUCCACGUGUAGCGGUGAAAUGCGUAGAGAUGUGGAGGAACACCAGUGGC